CCUACGGGUGGCUGCAGUGAGGAAUAUUGGUCAAUGGGCGCGAGCCUGAACCAGCCAAGUAGCGUGAAGGAUGACUGCCCUACGGGUUGUAAACUUCUUUUAUAAAGGAAUAAAGUGCGGCACGUGUGCCGUUUUGUAUGUACUUUAUGAAUAACCAUCGGCUAACUCCGUGCCAGCAGCCGCGGUAAUACGGAGGAUCCGAGCGUUAUCCGGAUUUAUUGGGUUUAAAGGGAGCGUAGAUGGGUUGUUAAGUCAGUUGUGAAAGUUUGCGGCUCAAACGUAAAAUUGCAUUUGAUACUGUGAGUCUUGAGUACAGUUGAGGUAGGCGGAAUUCGUGGUGUAGCGGUGAAAUGCUUAGAUAUCACGAAGAACUCCGAUUGCGAAGGCAGCGUACUAGA
rnacentral:rRNA from 1 species